rfam:Fukomys damarensis contig89849, whole genome shotgun sequence.
CAAAAGGCUCUUUUCAGAGCCACCCAAGUUUCUUGGAAGAACUG